GGAGGAUGCCGGAGUUAUACCAAGAGAGAACCACUGAACUUCGGCAGAAAAAAAACUGGCAAUCUCGUCAAUUAAGAUAUGAGUCGAACGCACCUGUCACGAGCGGGGUUCGAACUCACAAUGUCGGUGAAGACAGGCUGUGGCUAGUGAUUACAGUAGAUGCACUACUUUUUUCUUCUUGAAUAAAAUAUAUUAUUAUUUGAAAAUAUAACAAGGUGCAUAAAACAAAUGUAAAUAAUCUUUUGUUAUUCCAAACAGAGCAUUUUUUUAAAACAAUUAUUCAGUUUAAUUUCAACAUACAUAUUGUAUCAUCAAUAACAUUCUGCAAUAGUACAUGUACAUUGUAAGUUGACCUUAAUUCUAAUUAAUUUCAACGUUAUUCUGAGUUAUCUCUCUUUGUUCGACUUGUAAAAUAGGCCAAUCGGAACUACUCGGCUUUUCUGGUUGCACGAAGAAAUAUUGCAUAGCGAGAAUGGCCGAGUAGUUACGAUUGUAAAAUAGGCCUUAUCCAGGAAAAAUAUAAUUGCUACUAAACUCAGUUUUAAUUAAAUUACUUAGUUUUGUGUCCAUUUGUUGAAAUUCUGAAAAAAAAUUACUUCACAGUUUCUUCAUGAUAAAAAAUUGUUUUAAAUUUCUUUUUUUCAUUUCGUAAAUAUAUAUAAUAUAGUUAAAAUAUAAAAGAAAAACCUUUAUUUGUACCCGAAGUUGGUGAAAUCUAAGGAUUUAAUUACAUUCAUCAUGUAUUGGUAAUGUUUAUAUUAUUGUAAAACUAUCAAAACAUGACGGGUCAGAUAUGUACAUGUAGGAUAAUUUAUUUCUAGGCUACUACAAUGGAAAUUUUUAUAACAUACUAUUGAUGACCAAAUUUUGAAAAAAAUGAAAAUUUAUCAAAAGGUCAUCAAAUCUGCUAAAAAGUGGAUGUUUUUAUUGUAAGACUGUAAAUUCCACAAUUUAUUCUUCAGAAUGAUGUAAAACUUUGAAAAAAAAUUGUAAAGAAUUAUAUGGAGUAGACCUAUUCUUUUGAAAAGGAAGGUACAUCGAAAAUGUUAUGUACAGAGUUGGGUGUUAUUUUAAUUUUUAUUAGUCCCCUACCGACGAAGUCGAAGGGGACUUAAGGUUUGCACUUCGUCCAUCUGUCUGUUCAUCCAUCAGUCCGGCAUAUCAGUUUUUCUACACCUUUUUGUUCGUGCUUAAAGAUAUUGAUUUGAUACUUGGUGUAUUGUUUUACAUGUAUCAUUAUAUGUUUAAGAUCAAGUUCGAAUUUUGUUCCGGUUUGACGAUUUUGUACUGAGUUACCGUCCUCUCAAUUAAUCCAUUUUUUACCCUUCUAAUUCGUCAUGCUUGAAGAGAUUGACUUGAUAUUUGUUAUACAAGUUAAACCAUGAAAAGUUAUAGAUCAAGUUAGCAUUUUGUUACAGUGCAAUGAAUUUUUAACCGGUAGGGAACUAUGCAUUGCCAGUUAUACUCACAGAAUUAUUGUUGAUUUUAAUCAUUAAUUGAUUAUGUCAGUUUGUAUAUAAUAUUUAAUUUAUUUUGAUUUGUUAAAAUUGUGAAAAAUAAUUGUAUUUUUGCUUUUAUCAUGUUUAUCAUUAAGCAAUAAAGUUUAAAGAGGAACUGAUGUUUUUUUUUUAGCUCUCCUACACAGCUACUUUUGCAGAGGUACUAUUUCUGUACUGAAAAUAUGUAGUACUGGAAAUUCACUUUUAAUAUUCA
rnacentral:lncRNA from 1 species